rnacentral:rRNA from 1 species
UACGAUGGAGGUGCAAGCGUUAUCGGAAUUACUGGGCGUAAAGCGUGCGCAGGCGGUUUUGUAAGUCUGUCGUGAAAUCCCCGGGCUCAACCUGGGAAUUGCGAUGGAGACUGCAAGGCUGAGAUCUGGCAGAGGGGGGUAGAAUUCCACGUGUAGCAGUGAAAUGCGUAGAGAUGUGGAGGAACACCGAUGGCGAAGGCAGCCCCCUGGGUCAAGACUGACGCUCAUGCACGAAAGCGUGGGGAGCAAACAGG